AGUUAGUUGGUAAGGUAACGGCUUACCAAGGCGACGAUGGAUAGCUGAUUUGAGAGAGUGAUCAGCCACACUGGGACUGAGAUACGGCCCAGACUCCUACGGGAGGCAGCAGUGAGGAAUAUUGCGCAAUGGGCGAAAGCCUGACGCAGCAACGCCGCGUGGGGGAUGAAGCUUUAUGGAGUGUAAACCCCUGUAAGUAGGGACGAACGGUAAGUAUUCAAAUAGGAUAUUUAAUUGACGGUACCUACAGAGUAAGCUCCGGCUAACUCCGUGCCAGCAGCCGCGGUAAUACGGGGGGAGCAAGCGUUGUCCGGAAUUACUGGGCGUAAAGGGCGUGUAGGCGGUAUUGUAAGUCAGAUGUAAAAGGCUACGGCUUAACCGUAGAUGGUCAUUUGAAACUGCAGUACUUGAGUGCGAGAGAGGGUAGUGGAAUUCCCAGUGUAGCGGUGAAAUGCGUAGAUAUUGGGAAGAACACCAGUAGCGAAGGCGGCUACCUGGCUCGUAACUGACGCUAAUGCGCGAAAGCGUGGGGAGCGAACAGGAUUAGAUACCCUGGUAGUCCACGCUGUAAACGAUGAACACUAGGUGUUGGUCCCGACGUGUCGGGAUCGGUGCCGCAGCAAACGCAUUAAGUGUUCCGCCUGGGGAGUACGAUCGCAAGGUUGAAACUCAAAGGAAUUGACGGGGGCCCGCACAAGCGGUGGAGCAUGUGGUUUAAUUCGAUUCAACGCGAAGAACCUUACCGGGGUUUGACAUGAUAGUGAAGUAUGCAGAGAUGUAUAUGCCUUUCGGGGCACUAUUACAGGUGCUGCAUGGCUGUCGUCAGCUCGUGUCGUGAGAUGUUGGGUUAAGUCCCGCAACGAGCGCAACCCUUGCCCCUAGUUGCCAGCAAGUAAUGUUGGGGACUCUAGGGGGACUGCCGGUGAUAAACUGGAGGAAGGUGGGGAUGACGUCAAGUCCUCAUGGCCCUUACAUCCCGGGCUACACACGUGCUACAAUGGCCGGUACAACGGGGAGCAAUACUGCGAAGUGGAGCGAAUCCCUAAAAACCGGUCUCAGUUCGGAUUGCAGUCUGCAACUCGACUGCAUGAAGUCGGAAUCGCUAGUAAUCGCGGAUCAGCACGCCGCGGUGAAUACGUUCCCGGGCCUUGUACACACCGCCCGUCACGCCAUGGAAGUCGGCAGUACCCGAAGCCGGUGGCCUAAUCCCG
rnacentral:rRNA from 1 species